rnacentral:lncRNA from 1 species
GUCAACAGAUUUUUGUUCGGCAAUAUUGAAAAAUUGUACAUUUAAGCCUAUGACAUUAAUAUUUUCUUGCUUUGACUGAACGUUUUCAGCAUAGCACGCAUUACGGGUUUUUAAAAAAUUUCAUCUUUUGGAACAAUCUUUUCUCCACAAGAAUCCCGGAUAGAAAUGUUCUGAAUCAGAGUGACAUAGCCAUCUUUACAAUUGGCUCUAAACUCGAUGAAAUUGCAGGCUGUGGAAUUCACUCGGCAUUACCACCCCUUCAUUGCAGCGUAUUCCACAGAGAACUUACCGCAAAUCCAGAUAUUUGGUUAUAAAUCAAUCGAUAACCAAUAAUCAAAAAUCCAAGCCACCAUGAGAUCUCUUCAAUCCGGACUUAGGGAAAUUCUAAGCAACUGCCUGGCGGAGGAGUAAGCGAGAGAAGGUACCACUCUAACUACAAUCCAUGCACAUCGCGGACAUACCUUUGUCUAGGGCAAAGCUUAGGCUAAAGUUCACCAAAACAGCCAACAUCAGAUGACUCAACGAAAGAACUUGCAACAUGACUAGACAACUUUGGCCUGCGCUGAACGCUAAAAGAUCAAGGAAUUUGGUCCUCUUAGACCAGUUCAUCAUCAAUAAGACAUUGUUUAAUUGUACUUUGCGGUAUGACAAUGUGGUAUAUAUCGAAUGAUUUUUUCGAGCCUUUAGAGAUGCAGAGGAGGAGGAGUCUGUCGAUGUUCGGCACUGAAUAUUAUCCGAUAUAACUACCCCGGAUAUCACUUUUUUGAUUGCCUGUUCGUUCGUACAUUUGAGAAGUUGAGAAGCAGGUCUUCCGUGAGCCAUAAGUGCGCAGGUCGCUCUGAUCAGCAACCGUAUUAAUUCACCUAAACUCUCAUUUCGCCAGUCUCUUUCUUAGCAACAAUGCUUUGUUCUAAAAAUUUUCAUAAAUUUCAAAUUCGGUUACAAAAAUCUUGCAAAAUUAUUUACAUAAGCCUUCUAAAAUUCACUCUAUACUGUUGGAGAACGGGGAUCAAGCCAAUCCAUGAGGUUAUUUUUGAGUUUAUCAGAAACAGACAGCCAGACGAGUAGCGUGAUCUUGCUUUAUAAUAUUUAAGGAAUCAAGGAUUGACUCUUCCUCCAAUUUAUUGCGUGCGUGUCUUGAUGUUUCUCCAGCAAGUAGAGAGGGACCAUCAAUUUUUUCUAAGCCGCCUCCGAACGGCAGAUGGUUUCUAAUUAGGAACUUAUAAUUUCAAGUCAGAUAUAUCCCCAUGGACAUGGAAUUAUCGUUAUUUGGAAUAGCCUGGUGGAUGUCACUUUUUGAGUUGAAAUUGUCUAGCAUUCAAGUAAAAAUUAUAACAGCAAUAAAAAUUCAAGAUUUCAUUGAAAAAUCAUCCCCGCUAAGUAAAACUGCCUCAUCUGGAGCUAGGAAAUCCCAAGAUUUAUGGUUGGAAAACCUAUCCAUCCUCAACGCGUAAAUGUUUGGUGUGGAAAUAUUGGACCUUUCAUUUCCGAUAAUGAAUGGGUUGAGUUAUCGAGAGCUGAUUAAUGACUUUUUAUGGCCGCAUUUGGAUGGUAUUGGUCUUCUCAUUCAAUAGGAACGAAAACAUCGAUCUUUUAAAGGAAAAGUAUUGGAAAACCCUGUAAAUGUACACUCAACAAUGAUUUGAACCACACAGUCUCGCUCUACUUGGGACUUACCUUGUAUAUACUUAGUGCAAAUAAAAAAAGAUCUUAAUAGAAUUAUUAUCUACAAAGCUAUUAACUUGAUUAUUAAUAUUAUAUUAUGCACUUAAUACAUUUAAAAUAUUAUUAACUUCCUGCAUAUGUAAAGAAAUCGGUUGGACAAGUCCAAGGAACAAUAAAAACGUUGACAUGCAUAUAUCAUAAUGACGUCAUUACGUAAAUUUGCACUAACAAGACAUAUGACAUGUGUCUAUUUAUGCACUUCAUAUACUCAAACGAGUACUAGUCAGUAUACAUGUGUAUAUGUACAUAUAUGUAUGUAUACACUUUAAAUUUCUUAUGCAAUUCAAAGCAGUUAUUGCAAAUACAAUUUGUCGUUUUUACAUAAAAAUAUAAAUUGUCAAGUCUCUCGUUAGCAGCAGCUUAGUUGAUAUUCAAUCCGGGUUAGUGGAGCACAACUGUGUAGAUUCUUGGUAGAAUAAUUGGCAAAACUCUAGAGAGAAAUUCCUUUGACAUAUUUUGUUGCAGGACAUUCAAACAGGUUUGCUAUUGAAUCAAAACUAGUUUGCUUUGAAAAUAUGGACAGCUGCAUUUGGUUGCGUUUUGGCAAAUUUUUCCGUAUUAAAAAGAUUCUCAAAUUCAUUCAAUUAAUUGUCGUUUUAAAAUCGAACUAUUUAUUUCUAUAAUUAUACUCGUCUGUACUCUUUUUUUAUAGUGGACUGUUUAAAAUAUUAAUUAAAAUUAAAUUUUCUAAUUUGCGGUCGCCUCUCGACAAGGAAAGUCAAGCCCCCCUCAUAAACUAGUCUCCUUUAGAACUUAAAAAACGCGUUUUCCAGCAGUUUUUUUUUUAGUGUAUUUCGGACAUGAAAUAAAGUCUCCUCAU